rnacentral:lncRNA from 1 species
GUGAGGCUCUGUCCCUACAAAAAAUUUAAAAAUUGGUUGGGCAUGGUGGCACACGCAUAUAUUCUCAGCUACUCAGGAUGACUGCUUAAGCCCAGGAAUCUGAGGCUGCAGUGAGCUGUGACUGAGCCACUGCACCCCAGCCUUAACAACUGAGCAAGACUCUGCCUCUUAAAAAAAUAACUAAACAAAACUGUUAUUAUUACACUGAAAGAAUCAAAGAAAAACAGGUUCAAAGAAUUGAAAACAUGGUCUAAAAAUGAAUGAACAAAUAAGGAGUUUUGGCAGAGAUGCAGAAAAUAUUAAAAAGAACCUAAAACUAAUGAAAAAAAAUUAACUGGAUAGGAUUAACAUGAGAGUUGACAAUUGAAUAAGGAGUCAAUUAUAUGAAGUUAGAUCACUAACAAUUAUCUAAUCCAAAGAGGAGAUAGAAAAAAGACUGAGGUAGGGGAAACAGUCUCAGGGACAUGUAAGAUAAUAUCAAACACUAAUAUAUGUGUGAUUAGAAUCCCAAAAGAGAAAAGAAUGAAUUAGGGCAGAAAAAAUACUAGCCAAAAACUUCCCAAAUUUGAUGGAAAACAUCAAUUUAUAAAUUCAAAAAGCUCAGCAAACUCCAAACAGGUUAAAUAAAAGGAUGAGGCUUAUGAGGGCUAAUGAGCCUAAGUUUUAAAAAAGAAGUUUCUCCAUAAAUAAAAGGCAUUAUAAAGCUUUCAUAUAUUUGGUAUAUAGUUUAAAUAUUUGAAGCUUUAACCAGUGGCGCGAUCUUGGCUCACUGCAACCUCCGCCUCCAGGUUCAAGCAAUUCUUCUGCCUCAGCCUCCCAAGUAGCUGGGACUACAGGCGCCCACCACCACACCUGGCUAAUUUUUGUAUUUUUAGUAGAGAUGGAGUUUCACCAUACUGGCCAGGCUGGUCUCAAACUCCUGACCUCGUGAUCCACCUGCCUCGGCCUCCCAAAGUGCUGGGAUUACAGGCGCGAGCCACUGCGCCUGGCCAAGAAUUUACUCUUAUAAUUAACAAUCCUAUAUUUAGCAUGGUUUUAGAAGAAAAAAAAUAAAGAUUAGCCCACUUAAAAGCUAUUUAGUUAUUUAAAUGCAAAAAUAAAACAUUCUCUUGUGUUAAAACAAAGAUUAUGUUAUAGUUUUAAUUAUAAACAAAAAACUGGCCAGUUAAUCUCAAUUUAGAACUUAAAACAUCAACUGAAGGUUAAGAGUAUCACUCACAGCUAACAUUUAUUAUUUUUAAGCUUUGCUGGCCAAGGCUAGAUUCUAAUAAUCUUUUGUAUGCAACCAAUACUAAUCAAUAUCCAACAUUAAUUCAACAUUUUUAACAAUGAAUAUAUUGCAAACCUGGUUUGAACAACAGAUACAUAACAAUAAUAAAAUGGCAUGGUAAAAUAAAAAUGUAUAUUCCAGAAAAGGGAUCAUAUGUAGUCCAUUAAAUGUUUUAUUUUCAUGAUAAAUUAAGCCCUUCAGUUUAUAAUUUUAAGAUAGAAAAAGCAACUACAGGUUGGGCAUCCCAAAUUUGAAAUCCAAAUGCUCCAAAACCCAAAACUUACUUAGUGCCAACAAGACAUUCAAUUCAGAUUUUUGAAUUUGGGAUGCUCACGUAGUAAGUAUAAUACAAAUAUUCCAAAAUUUUUUUUAAAAAAUCUGAAAUCCAAAAGACUUCUGGUCUCAAGCAUUUGGGAUAAGGGAUAAUAAACUUGCAUUGUUAUGAUUAAAGCAUAAACUAUGAUUAAAGAAAAAACCUUUUAAAAAGUGGAAAAUCAACGUGUAAAGUGAUAACUGAUUUAUUUUAGACUUAUUUCUAUUACUUAUAGGUAAAAUAUCUGACACUUUUUAUGAGAAAAGACAGAAGUGAACUUUUAGCAUUAGAUUCCCAUGGAGAUGUUUUCAUAUGACUUAUUUCUUAACUGUGAAAAAACUACUUUAAAACAAACAGGAUAAAAAAUAUUUUGGAAGGAAGUAGGUAAUGGCUGGUGGUGAGUGACAGGGAGAUAGUAGUGACCAGAAACUGACUGUGGGAGGUAUGACUUAAAUUUUCAUUAAAAAGAAAAACGACAUACAAGAGACAGGCACAGUUCAGUAAUUUCCCCCUUUCUUUCCCGUUGGAACAAACUCUGGUGCUCUAUAUUUACUAGCUCUACUAAAAGGUUCUGCAAUAUUUUUUCCCACUUUAAAAAAAAAAUUAGGCCAACAGACAACAUUUUCUCAUUUUAAAGUUUUUCCUCCUUGCAUUCUUCUAGAACUAAAAAUGGUCUUAAUUUCUAUGCCAGAGUUGGAUGUAUCAAUAUAACAAUACAGGACAAUGCCCUUAGUGCCUGAUCGUUUCAUUUUAUGAAGUAACCUGCAUAAUACAGAUCACUUCAACAAUUCUACCUGCCUGAAAAGAACACCAGUAGAGUACUACGAUAUGGUAAGACUUAGUCAUAUCUACCAAGGGAAAUCUCUUUGGAGUUUCAAUUAUUCACAGACCCAUAUGGAGUUUUAAUAAAUAUAUUCUGCUGAAUGCUUUGGAAAUAAGCUGCAGACAUCUUAAGACUUCACUUAGAAAUAUUUCAACAUGCAACUCCUGAGAGUAAAGCCUUUUUCCUCCAUAACCACAAUACCCAAGAAAAUUACUAAUUCUCUAACAUCUAAUAUCCAAUUCUUACCAAGUGACCUCAACUGCCCCCCAAAAUGUCUUUUAUAACAGAGACUCAACUAUUUUGACUCAUGAUCUCACUCUUUUGACUCAGAAAAAACUCAGGACUCCCUGGAAAGUCUGAACCUCUACUACCCCUGAAGAAUAUUAAAUUCUUCAUAUCACAAAUACUCUAUUAGCUUUAUUUUCUAAAACUUUUAAUACCAUAUUUCAAAUAUAAAACUAUAUUAAACAUUCUUCUUAAACAACAUCACUCUUUCCUACCUCCACAGACAAAAUUAACUAUUUAUAUAAGAUGAACGUUUAUAAUAAGUGCCAUUUAACCCAGAGACUCCAUGAUGCUACCCGACAGUUUUAGAAUACUGAGGUAUUCCCAGUAACCUAAUACCACUACUCUUACAUCUAAGUCAUAAAUAAGAAUAAUUCCCCCUACCUAUACAAUUCUGUGCAACACUGAAAUCUAAUUGAAAUCCCAGCUUCACUGGGGCAAGCUACCUAAUUUGCUUAUCUCAUAUAAAACAGGUAUCACGUAAGUACCUAAAUCAAACUACCUGUUCUGAAGACUGAAUAUCUGUAUGCAUAUAUAUAAAAUUAUAUGCUUUCAGUCAUGUUUACAUGUAAAUGUAUAAAUGCAUACAUAUAUGUUUUAAAGUGCAAAUAAGCACAUAAAAUACCCAGUAACUGUUAUUACUAUAAAACUAGGCAAAUAAAUUUAAAAUGUCUCAUUUUCUUCAGCCCAUUACAUGUAUUUAAUACAUAUUACCAAUCAAUUCAAAAUGUCAGACAUGACCAUUAACUAGACACUUAGAAAAUUUUGAAAUUGAAGUGGUAAAAGGUCCUUCACCACUUCAAUUUAAUCAAAAUAAUGUUCCUCCUCUGCAACUCAUUAUGUAUAAAACUUUACAAAGAUGAGGCACAGAUUUUCUAUCAUAUACUAGUUUCUAAAGAACUUAUUCCCAUAGGGAAGCACUUAAAUCAAAGGUACCCUUCUUAGAGCACUUAGGAUUCCUCUAAAGGAAACAUAGUAAAAAAUAAAGAUUAGAAAUUUUGGCAAAAACCGAUAAUCAAAUAAGGAGCUUUUAGUGCCCAAAUAGUCAAAAAAUAUCUAUUUUUUUAAUUUUUAAAAAC